rnacentral:misc_RNA from 1 species
GGUUGGAUCAUUAUUGUAAUGCAUCCUUGGCCGGUCCUUAUCUCCUUGGAGAAAAGCCGUCGGUCACAUCUGCUGGGGAGAUGUGGCCGUUAAGCCAUUCACACAUCUUGUGAACACUGAAAUGUCUUUUGGCGAUUGCUGAGUCCUUCAGUCAUUCUUUUUGAGGUUGAAUCUGAUCCGCAAAGUGCGAUAGAGGGUUGCAGUGAAGAUGAUACCUUUGAUCCAAGAUCAGAUUUGUGCUGUCUGAUCUCUGGUGCGUGGCUGAACCGCAGCGGUGAAAUAAAAAGGCACUGGAUUCUUGGGCUUGAAUUCAGCUAAUUGGCUUUCACCUUUUCUCCAUGAAAUACUCAGAGGUUCUGCUUGUCUCGGAGUUCAGUAAUGAAGAUUUAAGCUGUGGGCGGGUGCUUGUGGUUCUUCCACACACUCCAGCUUGGAGUCGCCAAGCAAGUAAAUGAACACACUCAUUGUAUUUCUUUAUGAAAACCAAGUGGAAUCUGAAUCAAUCUGUAUGACAGAAUCUGAUCUGCGAAGUACGAGUAGAGAGUCGCAGUGAGGAGGAAGCUCCAGAUUGAUUUUUAAGGUGACACUUUUCGGAACUUUGCUGACUCAGACCUGUUUGAUGAGCGCGAUUGAGGGCAUCAACGGCAAUGACGAAUGCUCUGUGAUGAUAAAUCAGAAACAACUUUAGACAAUGGAUCUCUCGGCUCUCGCAUCGAUGAAGAACGCAGCGAAAUGCGAUACGUAGUGUGAAUUGCAGAUACUCGUGAAUCAUCGAAUCUUUGAACGCAUAUUGCACCCAUUGGUUAUUCCGAUGGGUAUGUCUGUUUGAGCACCUGUACGUCUGUCACAAAUACUGAGGGAUUCCUUUGCACUUGUUCUUGUGCAUGAAUCCUUGAUGAAAGCUUCAACCAAUUCGACCGCCAUUGUAUUGGUUGUUUUUUUCAUCUUCACUUGGUUGGCGUGGAAUUGGGCGUUCACUCUCUCUUCUUUCAUCCUUCCGACUGUGGGCCUUUCGGUUCGGUUGAUGAGGAGCGGGCGAUGCCUUAAAUAUAGUGUCGGGAACUAUGCAAAACUUUGCUUCAAUGCUCCAGUUUGUUCCAAAGCUUGACGUUAUAAUGGGAUGUGCGCCAUUUUUCGUUUUGAUUUGUGUUCUCUUCUGUCAUUGAGUAGGUCUUUGUUUUCACGAUAUUUUCAGAAGACCGAUCUUGUGUUUUCUUACUUGCCAGGCGAUCUUGUCUCACUCUUUCUACCUUGUGCUUGUUGGGGAGGUGAACAUGUGUCGUAUACCUGAACAAAUGGUCUCAAAUCAGACAUGACUACCCGCUGAACUUAAGCAUAUCAGUAAGCGGAGGAAAAGAAAAUAACAAUGAUUCCCUUAGUAGCGGCGAGCGAAGCGGGAUGAGCUCAAACUUUAAAAUCUCCCUAACGGGCGAAUUGUGGUUUAAGAAGCGUUUUCUUUGGGAUGGGCUCGGUCCAAGUCUUUUGGAACGAGGCAUCAGAGAGGGUGAAAAUCCCGUACCUGACCGCAGCUCCAUUUCCUUUUUAUGAGGCGUCUUCGGAGAGUCGGUUAGCUUGGGAAUGCUGACCUAAAUGGGUGGUAAAUACCAUCUAAAGCUAAAUAUAUGCGAGAGUCCGAUAGCGAACAAGUACCGUGAGGGAAAGAUGAAAAGUACUCUGAAGAGAGGGUCAAAUAGUACGUGAAAUUGUCUAAAGUGAAACGCUUGAUACCAUGAUAGUGCGGCUGGGAUCAUCCAUCUCCUUCUUCACGGAAGCGAAUGGUGCACUCCCAUGCUCGUGCGGGUCAGCAUCAGUUUGAAUUGGGGUAAAAAGCUUGAGGUCUGAUGCUAGCCACAUCAGCAUCUGCUUGUCUAUACCCUGGUUCAGACUGAGGAUCGCAGCCAUGCCAUUGGGGAUCCUUCCGUUCUCUUUCUUCCGGAGAACAGUUCAGCUUGCUGACUGUUUUCUUGGCGGAUUGCGCGCGGUUGGUGACCACUUCAUGUGCUUGGGAUGCUGGCUUAAUGGUCUCAAACGACCCGUCUUGAAACACGGACCAAGGAGUCGAACACACCUGCGAGUCUUUGGGCUGCAAACCCAUCGGCGUAAUGAAAGUGAACGGGUAUGAAUCCCUUACGGGAGGCAAUAUCGACCGGUCCUGAAGUCUUUGUACUGAUAGAUCUGAGUUAGAGCAUGUGUGUUCGGACCCGAAAGAUGGUGAACUAUACCUGGAUAGGGCGAAGCCAGAGGAAACUCUGGUGGAGGCUCGUAGCGAUUCUGACGUGCAAAUCGAUCGUCGAAUCUGGGUAUAGGGGCGAAAGACUAAUCGAACCAUCUAGUAGCUGGUUCCCUC